GCCCCCACUAGGACCACCUUCGUCGCCGCCUCUGCUUUUCUGGUCAACUCCUCCGCUUGUUGUAGAAUUUGUCACCAUGAAAAGGAAAGAG